AAGAGAUUAGUUUAAAAAACAUUAACUUGUCAAGUUAAAAAUAUAUAAAUCUAUUUAUAUAUCUCUUA
rnacentral:tRNA from 1 species